AGUGAACGCUGGCGGUAGGCCUAACACAUGCAAGUCGAACGGCAGCACAGUAAGAGCUUGCUCUUACGGGUGGCGAGUGGCGGACGGGUGAGGAAUACAUCGGAAUCUACUUUUUCGUGGGGGAUAACGUAGGGAAACUUACGCUAAUACCGCAUACGACCUACGUGUGAAAGCAGGGGAUCUUCGGACCUUGCGCGAUUGAAUGAGCCGAUGUCGGAUUAGCUAGUUGGCGGGGGAAAGGCCCACCAAGGCGACGAUCCGUAGCUGGUCUGAGAGGAUGAUCAGCCCCAGUGGAACGGAGCCACGGUCCAGACUCCUACGGGAGGCAGCAGUGGGGAAUAUUGGACAAUGGGAGCAAGCCUGAUCCAGCCAUACCGCGUGGGUGAAGAAGGCAUUCGGGUUGUAAAGCCCUUUUGUUGGGAAAGAAAAGCAGCAGGUUAAUACCCCGCUGUUCUGACGGUACCCAAAGAAUAAGCACCGGCUAACUUCGUG
rnacentral:rRNA from 1 species